rnacentral:rRNA from 1 species
UACGUAGGGGGCAAGCGUUGUCCCGGAUUUAUUGGGCGUAAAGAGCGUGUAGGCGGCUUUACAGGUCCGUUGUGAAAACUCGAGGCUCAACCUCGAGACGCCGGUGGAAACCGUAAGGCUAGAGUCCGGAAGAGGAGAGUGGAAUUCCUGGUGUAGCGGUGAAAUGCGCAGAUAUCAGGAAGAACACCCGUGGCUAAGGCGGCUCUCUAGUACGGUACUGACGCUGAGACGCGAAAGCGUGGGGAGCGAACAGG